GUAGGGAAUAUUGGGCAAUGGUCGGAAGACUGACCCAGCCAUGCCGCGUGCAGGAAGACGGCCCUCUGGGUUGUAAACUGCUUUUAUCUGGGAAGAAAAAGGCCAUGCGUGGCAAAUUGCCGGUACCAGAUGAAUAAGCACCGGCUAACUCCGUGCCAGCAGCCGCGGUAAUACGGAGGGUGCGAGCGUUGUCCGGAUUUAUUGGGUUUAAAGGGUGCGUAGGCGGCUGAUUAAGUCAGCGGUGAAAGACUUCGGCUUAACCGGGGCAGUGCCGUUGAUACUGGUUGGCUUGAGUGUCGGAGGGGUACAUGGAAUUGAUGGUGUAGCGGUGAAAUGCAUAGAUACCAUCAGGAACACCGAUAGCGAAGGCAUUGUACUGGCCGACAACUGACGCUGAUGCACGAAAGUGUGGGGAUCGAACAGGAUUAGAUACCCGAGUAGUCC
rnacentral:rRNA from 1 species